AGAGUUUGAUCAUGGCUCAGAAUGAACGCUGGCGGCGUGCCUAACACAUGCAAGUCGAGCGAGAAAGUCCUUCGGGAUGAGUACAGCGGCGGACGGGUGAGCAACGCGUGAGAAUCUGCCCUUCAAUGAAGGAUACCCUCGAGAAAUCGAGGUUAAUACUGCAUACGCCCCUUCGGGGAGAAAGGUGGCCUAAUUGCUGCCGUUGAAGGAUGAGCUUGCGUGCUAUCAGCUAGUUGGUAGGGUAAAGGCCUACCAAGGCUAUGACGGCUAGCCGGCCUGAGAGGGUGUACGGCCACAUUGGAACUGAGAUACGGUCCAGACUCCUACGGGAGGCAGCAGUGGGGAAUAUUGCGCAAUGGGCGAAAGCCUGACGCAGCGACGCCGCGUGGAGGAUGAAGGUCUUAGGAUUGUAAACUUCUGUUAAGUGGGAAAAAAGACUCAUUUCUAAUACAGAUGAGGGAUGAUUGUACCACUAAAGAAAGCACCGGCUAAACUCGUGCCAGCAGCCGCGGUAAUACGAGUGGUGCAAGCGUUAUUCGGAAUCAUUGGGCGUAAAGGGCGCGUAGACGGUGCGCUAAGUCUGCUGUUAAAUCCUUCAGCUCAACUGAAGAUCAGCGGUGGAUACUGGCGUGCUAGAGGGUGGAAGAGAGAAGUGGAAUUCUCGGAGUAGCGGUAAAAUGCGUAGAUCUCGAGAGGAACACCAAUGGCGAAGGCAGCUUCUUGGUCCACUCCUGACGUUGAGGCGCGAAAGCGUGGGGAGCAAACAGGAUUAGAUACCCUAGUAGUCC
rnacentral:rRNA from 1 species